rnacentral:rRNA from 1 species
AUUAUGGCUCAGGAUGAACGCUAGCGGGAGGCUUAACACAUGCAAGUCGAGGGGUAAGAGAGGUAGCAAUACUUUUCUGAGACCGGCGCACGGGUGAGUAACGCGUAUGCAACCUGCCCUUUACAGGGGGAUAGCCCGGAGAAAUCCGGAUUAAUACCCCAUAGGCCUGUAACCUCGCAUGGGGAAUCAGGUAAAGCUUUCGGGCGGUAGAGGAUGGGCAUGCGUGACAUUAGCUUGUUGGCGGGGUAACGGCCCACCAAGGCUGCGAUGUCUAGGGGUUCUGAGAGGAAGGUCCCCCACACUGGUACUGAGACACGGACCAGACUCCUACGGGAGGCAGCAGUGAGGAAUAUUGGUCAAUGGGCGAGAGCCUGAACCAGCCAUCCCGCGUGCAGGAAGAAGGCCCUAUGGGUUGUAAACUGCUUUUGUGCAGGAAGAAUAGUAUCCUCGUGAGGGUAUUUGACGGUACUGCGCGAAUAAGCACCGGCUAACUCCGUGCCAGCAGCCGCGGUAAUACGGAGGGUGCAAGCGUUAUCCGGAUUUAUUGGGUUUAAAGGGUGCGUAGGCGGUAUAUUAAGUCAGUGGUGAAAUCCUGCAGCUCAACUGUAGCAUUGCCAUUGAAACUGAUGUACUUGAGUUAUCUUGAGGUAGGCGGAAUGUGUAGUGUAGCGGUGAAAUGCUUAGAUAUUACACAGAACACCGAUUGCGAAGGCAGCUUACUAAGGGUACACUGACGCUGAGGCACGAAAGCGUGGGGAUCGAACAGGAUUAGAUACCCUGGUAGUCCACGCCGUAAACGAUGAUGACUCGCUGUUGGCGAUAUACCGUUCAGCGGCUUAGUGAAAGCGUUAAGUCAUCCACCUGGGGAGUACGCUCGCAGGAGUGAAACUCAAAU